rnacentral:misc_RNA from 1 species
UUUUUUUUUUUUUUUUGAGUGAUGUGUAUUAGCUGCAAUUUCCCUUUUUAAUUGGCAUUCUCCCCCUCCUUUUUUCAUUGAAUCACUCAUGAUAACUGUUUUAGUCAAGUUGAAUUGAUAUUCAUCAUGAGAGAUGCUUUCUUGAGAACAACACGAGUGAUUUAAUUUUCAAUCUAAUAAUUCCUAAUGGUUUUUUUCUAUCAUCUAUUGUUCAUUGAUACUUUGAACAUUCCAAAUGGCAUUUUCCUAUCAUUUAGUUCUCAUUGCUUUAUGAUCUAAACUUCCUGAAACCCUCUUUUUUUCCCCUCAGUUUUAUGCCUGAUGCUGAUGCUAUUUGUAUUUGGUAUAGAUUUCUUGACUCAUUUAUUGCAUGUGGAUUGUGACACACGUAAGGAAUUUAUGUUGAUAUGUCUAGUUCUUCUAAUUUUUGCUUGCAGGAUCCUCAGAGAAAAAA